rnacentral:rRNA from 1 species
GACGAACGCUGGCGGCGUGCUUAACACAUGCAAGUCGAACGGAAAGGCCCUGCUUUCGUGGGGUGCUCGAGUGGCGAACGGGUGAGAAACACGUGAGUAACCUGCCCUUGACUUUGGGAUAACGUGAGGAAACUGGGGCUAAUACCGGUUAUGAGCUCCUGCUGUGUGGUGGGGGUUGGAAAGUUGCGGCGGUUGGGGUUGGACUCGCGGCUGAUCAGGUUGUUUGUGGGGUAGUGGCUUACCAAGGCUUUGACGGGUAGCCGGCCGGGGAGGGUGACCGGCCACAUGGGGACUGAGAUACGGCCCAGACGCAUACGGGAGGCAGCAGUGGGGAGUAUUGCACAAUGGGCGGAAGCCUGAUGCAGCAACGCCGCGUGCGGGAUGACGGCCUUCGGGUUGUAAACCGCUUUCGCCUGUGACGAAGCGUGAGUGACAGUAAUGGGUAAAGAAGCACCGGCUAACUACGUG